UGAUUACGUGCUUUAAAUUAAUUUCCUUCAUAUAAGCCAUUUACUUUUGAAAGCACACUUCAGUUUGUUUGCACUUUCGAACGCACGGUUCUGCCUAGACUCUCUUAGGUAGCCCCAGCAACUUGUGAUCCACCAGAAAACGCCUCUGGUAAAUAUAGAAAUCUUUCACUGAGAGAAGCCAAGUUUCACGCACAGAUUAUUUGCCAAGUGAGUUCAUUCCAGGUUGCAUGCAUUGCACCCUUUGGUAUAUAGACGUCAAUUCAAAGAGAUUAAAGGUCAAUCUGGGAACCGGAGAUGGAAGUUGAAGCACUUUUUGUAGAUCCGUCUGCCGGCAACUUCAUCUGGUGAGCCACAUUGGAAAAAUGUUCAUCGUGACUCAGCUGAUUACCCACAAACUGGUCAAGUACUCGC